UGGUUGUGGGAUCAGCUCUGUCUCAGGUGGAGGUGGUUGUGGGACCAGAAGGUUCUGUCUCAGGUGGAGGCGGUUGUGGGACCAGAAGGUUCUGUCUCAGGUGGAGGUGGUUGUGGGAUCAGCUCUGUCUCAGGUGGAGGUGGUUGUGAGGCCAGCGGGAGACCCUCAAGGGUAAAGUUUCUCCCUUCCCCCACCACCUUUCUGCCCCAGGUAACCAUCUAGCUUUAGACCCUGCUUCUCAUCAAUGUUCCGUGACCUGGUGACCGGCUCCUGGGGCCGGGCCUGUCUCACACAUCCCCUGUGUUCACCCCCCACCCAUUGCCAGCACCUCCUCACACUCUGUUCUGACCGUGUCUCCGCUGCGGACUUCAGUAGAUGUGUCGGCCGGUACAUGCAAGGUGGUUUGUUCCCCGCGUCUGAGGUCGGCUCGGGACCAACUGCGCUCUCAGAUUUCCACGCUCCCUUUUCCAUCUCAAGUGAGAUCAGUGUGAUUGUCUCCGAGCUAUUUUGAAGGUCUCCGCCUGUUUCUGCAAAACAACUCCCAACAGAAGUCACACUAAAUAGAGGAAGUUGUGUCCAUUCGUUCCAUUCACCACCAGGAGAAUGAAUGUGAACACAGACCGGCCUGAAAAAAACCCGCAAGCGAAUAUGGGAAGAAGGAAAAGUGCGGACUUGCUCUUAUCACAAAGCUGACGUCAGGCUUCAGCACCUGGCGAGCAGGUGGCAAGUCCCUUAAAUUGUUGGCCAAGAAGAGCCGGCCGGAGGUGGGGGCGGGUCCCAGAGCGCCCUGCCCGCGGGACCCCAGGGAGCAGAGCAUCUGCUAUCACAGGCCCGCUCCCGGGGGAGGCCCCUCCUCUGCGGCCCUGCGGGAGGGUUGCAUGUGCGAGGGGCACCGAGGCGGGCAGCUCUCGCCCCUGCAGCCCGGUCAGCGUGGAGGAUGCCCGCCAGGGCAAGGGGGGCUUGCAACGCCGGCGGUGAAGGGAGCAAUCGAGAUUGGAGCCCAGAGGGAAGGAAGUGGAGAGGGGUGGCUGCCGGCAGACCUGCAGCCUGGCCACCUGCUGUCGCUGCCGGGGCUGCGGUCAGGGUGGCAGAGGAAGGGAGCCCGGGAAGGCUUUUCUGACCGCGGGCAUUUCACAACCAAGACACAGGAAGCGGAUUACAGGGCCCGUGGGGCUGCAGCGGUGUGUGCACCCCACCUCCGGCCUUGUUGCCAAGACAGGCGCCCAGGAAGCCAAGAUGGUGACAGGCGUCCCCGAGGCUUCGCCCACAGAGUGCCACCUGCUCCCUAAGUCACACGCAGAGCCCUGUCCCUAGGUCACACACACAGCCCUGUCCCUAGGUCACACACACAGCCCUGUCCCUAGGUCACACGCACAGCCCUGUCCCUAGGUCACACGCACAGCCCUGUCCCUAGGUCACACGCACAGCCCUGUCCCUAGGUCACACGCACAGCCCUGUCCCUAGGUCACACACACAGCCCUGUCCCUAGGCCCCACGCAGAGCCCUGGGGGAAAGCUGGGUGAGCCUUCGUCCCGCAGCGCAGAGCAGGUCGGCAGGUCCCCGGCGGACUGUUCCCAUGGGGACGACUGUAACAGCGAGUAGAUGGAGGCCCUGGGACCACGGGUCCGAGUGCUUGAGCUCCAUUGAUCUGGAAAACAUGCCCGGCUGGUUGAGCGUCGACCUAUGAACCAGGAGGUCAGGGUUCGAUUCUGGUCAUGGGCACAGGCCCAGGUUGUGGGCCUGAUCCCCCGUGUGGGGCCUGCA